UACGGGGGGGGCAAGCGUUGUUCGGAAUUACUGGGCGUAAAGGGCUCGUAGGUGGCCAACUAAGUCAGACGUGAAAUCCCUCAGCUUAACUGGGGAACUGCGUCUGAUACUGGAUGGCUUGAGUUUGGGAGAGGGAUGCAGAAUUCCAGGUGUAGCGGUGGAAUGCGCAGAUAUCAGGAAGAACACCAACGGCGAAGGCAGCUCGCUGGGACGGUACUGACGCUGAGGCGCGAAAGCGUGGGGAGCAAACAGG
rnacentral:rRNA from 1 species